UACGAAGGGGGCUAGCGUUGUUCGGAUUUACUGGGCGUAAAGCGCACGUAGGCGGAUCGUUAAGUCGGGGGUGAAAUCCUGGAGCUCAACUCCAGAACUGCCUUCGAUACUGGCGAUCUUGAGUCCGGAAGAGGUGAGUGGAACUCCUAGUGUAGAGGUGGAAUUCGUAGAGAUUAGGAAGAACACCAGUGGCGAAGGCGGCUCACUGGUCCGGUUCUGACGAUGAGGUGCGAAAGAGUGGGGAGCAAACAGG
rnacentral:rRNA from 1 species